CUUUUACCCACAGGCUAACUCAAUUCUUCUUCCCUCUGGCCAGAAUGCAUGCCAGUGAAGGAAAAAUUUAUUUCCUGAAACCAUGCUGCCUUCAGCAAUUUCAAAUAGCUCUAAAUUACGUGAAGUAAAAUAAAGGUUUUCAAAUCCAGAAGUCCUCCACUCGCUGCAUGUUUUUCUCUGAGGAAAUUAUUGCUUUUUAAUCUGCCAUUCAUCUCAUCCACAUAGAAACAAAGUGGAUUUUCAGCAAGACUUUGUGUCCAGCUUUGCACUCCCGUGAGGCUCACGCUCUUCAAGACAAUUUAAACUGACCCUGAAGCUGUUCAAAAUCCUUCCGUGGAUUGGGUUGGUUCCCAUCAGCCCCAAGGUCAGAAGAAGACAAAAGUGUCUUAAAAACUCUGGAGUUGCCUCUGGCUCCACUGUGACUGUAUGCAGCCGAGCUCUGGCUCUGCUGAAGAUGAUGGACCCUUUCCCUUCACGAGUGUCCCGACGUCCUUAGAGCAUGUUGGUCACAAACAGCUGGCGGCAGUAGGUACACGUGAGUGGAUCUGGAUCAUUUGGCUUAGGCUGUCAGUGGAAGAUUGAACACAUGCUUUGUUUGGUCUGAAGACACUUGAAACAGCAAUUAUGCUCUUUUUUUAAACUCCCAAGGGUAAUGGAGAAAGUUAUAGUUCCAUGAAAACCUUGGGUUGAGCUGGUAAUUUGACAAAGUAUGUAUUGCAGCCCUGACUAAAUUCAUAUCUACACCAAACUUCAAACCUUUCCCCUACAGAAACCCCACUCCUGUGAAGAAAAGAAGUAUCACAAAUGCAGCUGCUCCUUCUGCUCUAUUUAGACAGUAAGAGUGGCCUUGAAAAUAGCAUCCCAUGCUAGUUAGCGUGUUGCACGGUACAAGAGCAAGACGUUUGUCAAAGCAGUAGCUUUGCAGUAGCGUGAGACACAGAAAGCUUCUCAAAUUUACUCACGUAGAGUAUUUCAAAUUCCAGUGCGUGCCGCAUAUUGAUUUGUUCACAUCUGGUAUAAAACCCGGAUGUGGGAAAUCCAAUGCAAGUACACCAGCUUGUAAGGCUGAAAAGCAGUAAGCAUACCUCGGGCAAAGAGCGCAGAUGUUGCUAGUGCUUUCCUGAUGGGGAAAAAGAGGUCUGGGGUCUCUGACUGCACUGGUGACCACUGCAGCCCCACCGUGGCUGCCUUAUUAGGGGACAGGAGGUGACAGAGCAUCUUUCUUCCUUGCUUGUCCCCAGCAUAUGCAAUACUCAAACAGCUAUCAAAUAGAGAUAUUCUACUUCAUGCUUUACCAGGAAAUAACUGAACAAAAUGACAAAUGCAUUAGAGUGAUCAUACAAUGGAAUUUCCAUUAGAUACCGUGCCAUAUUAACUAAUCCUCAAAAUAACUCAAAAGCAUCCAGUGAUAUAUUACAGGCAUUUGUUUUUAAUAGGGAUUUUGUAAACCGUAAGUCUCAAGCAUUUUUCUCUUUUGCACUUGGUAAAACUUUGAGAGGUAAAUGUUUUAUUGGUUCAGAAAGAGACUGAAUAUCUAGGUACAGUACUUACCAUGCAUGGAACCUGUAUGGGUUUAACUCACUAUUUAUAUACACAAUGCUGCAUUGCAAAACUGCCACGGAAAUUUACUCAUGUAGCAGAAAAUCUGAUCCCCUGCCCUUUGCCAUGAUGAUUGAUGAUAAUGUAAAAUCUAAUUUUGAACUCACUUAUAAAAAAAAAAAUUUCACACCCAUGAGCAGGUGUAUAGAAUUUUGUGGUUUGAUGUAUUUUAAUGAACGAUCAGAUUUUUUUUUAAGUAAGUUGAAAAAGUAAACAUUCUAGAUCAGGGCUCUGAACUAAUUUUCUCUGUUUAUUCCUACUUCUGGGUACCUGGCCUAUUGUUCCAGGGCUUUGACUGGCUAUUUGUUGGGGCAGGAAGAUACCUUUUCCUGAUACAGCUAUUACCUUUACGGAAUGUUUCCCAGGUGUCUCCCAGGUGCCAGAGAGUGGCCUUUGAGACUGAUCAUGCUGGACACUGCAUAGAAGAGGCAGUGCUCUGACUGGGAACAGAAACUGUUAGGCAGGGUAUCUUCAGCAGGAUCACUUUAAGGUAUAGGUAUAUAUGUAUAUAGUUAAGGAAUGGAUUUUGUGGAGGUCAGGACUGAUAGCAUCAAGUGGAUUUUUUGCUCUUCUGAUUUGACUGCCAGGAUUCCUGACCUCAUUUUAGAUCAUCAGUUCUUUGCCUUUUCAGGUGAACUAGGUAACUGAUGCCUGAUUGAGGUACACUCUUCAGCAUUCCAUAGAUUAAAAUAUAUGCCCUACCUAAGGUAUUUCAGCUUAAUUAAGACGACUGUGAUGCAGAGGUCAUAUUUGAUAAUCCAAUGGCCCAUUCUGCCUGUAAUAGCUCUUAAAGUAAUCCAGCCUCUGAUGCACCUCAGUUCUGAAAAAGGUUAUCGGGUGUAAGCAUGAAUGAUGGGAUAGUAGAUAGGGCAAAUACGGCAUUAAUUUGUGAUGAGUUCUAUAAUACGGUUGUCUGUGCAAAAAAAUCAGACUGAAAUGCCAGCCUCUUUCCACCCAUGCCACUGAACAGCAUCCUACUGACCUUCGAGCAGCUUAUUUGUCGGUCCAAGAGCGAGUAUAAAAUGGCUACGCUUGCCUACAAGGAUACUCUUCACUCGGUUUGCACUCAUGCUGCACCAGAUGGAAAUGUAAAGUAGAAAGACCAGGGAGAGCUCUGUCACUAGUUUUACUUUGGGAAACAAGCUUGUUGAAGAGGGAUGGAGGGAGAGGGAGAGACAGAGAGAGAGGGAGGAAGAAAGGGAAGAGGAGGGAGAGAGGGAAGAGGGAGAGAGGAAGCCCCCCCAGUUUUGUCAUUCAUCGUGAUAGAAAUGUUCUUUUAAAAUACACUUCUGACUUAGGAAGACUUGUCUUUCACAUUCAUUACGCAGGUGUCAAAUCAAAUUUUAUCUUGCUAUGUCUUGUGCGCUGGAGCAUAGUGCAUAUGACAUUUUGUAACAUGAUGCAACAUAAGGCAAUAAAUCAUACUGAAAGUGAAUAAAACGUCUUUUUUUUGUGUGUGUGUGAGCGCGAGGAGGGG